rnacentral:sRNA from 1 species
UUAUAUAGAGAUCCACGUCUACGGUCUAUAUUUAUAAACGCAGGCCCUCUCAGUGCAUUAACAUCGAUCUGUAACGCAAGUGGAAUAGCUAUAAAACUAGUAGUGACUACGAAAAGAGUUUUCAUUUGCAGUCUACAAGACUUGGAAAAAAAAAUUGAGUCAACGCGUUAAUUGAAGCUAUGCAACGUCCUUCACCUUCUGUUUUCACCAGCUACACAUGUGUUUCUGUAUCGUUGCGACUACUGGAUACACAGAAGCAGGAUACAACCGCAAGCAUUUUCAUUCAUUGGAGUGACCUACAUUUGUAGCUACAGAUUUUAAACGUAAAAUGUAAGGUCUUGCGACAUACAUAGACCCAAUCGACUCAUUGAUCUUGGUCUUGUGUUUUUUUUCAAGUCUUUGAUAACUCGGAACAAUGGUAGGCAAGGGGAAAAACUGGUUUCGUUUUCAAAGACAGUAAAAGUUAAACUGUCAAUGUAAAGAAUACGCAGCCAAGUGGAUUACCGUAGUAGCUAGACCCUUGCCUACAGAUAACUGAUGACGCUAAGUAAAAAGUAAUGACCACAAAAUGAACUCAUGGGUCUGUUCCAAACAAAAUUUGAUUAUGG